AAUUUUUCACUGCCCGAACUCCCUGACCAUAAGGUGACUUCGUCCCCGAAUAAUAAUAUUAAAGCUUAAGACAAUAGCAUAGUAAUAAUAAUAAUAUAGAUUAAAAAAACAGAUGACGCUCAAUUACCUACUAAUCUUCUAUUUUAGUUGAUCUUUAUAUUCUUUUAUAAGUUUUAUUUAAGAUCGUGUAUUCGAUAAGUCACCAUCGCAAAUGAAAUUAAAGGAGAAAAAGAGAAGGGAGUUAGGUUCUAUGAAUCAGUAGAAUUUUUCAUAAAAUAAGGUGUCAUCUUAUAUUCAAAACGUGUUUUCACAUUUUUUUUUCCUUUGGGAAAAAAUACAAAUAAUUAAUUAUACACUGACACUAGUGGCUUUUAGGUCAUCUUGUUUCCACAUAGAACAAAUUAGGAAAUCUCUUUUCUUUGGAGGAAGUGGUUGGCAAAUAAUUAGGAUUUUUUUUUCUUUAUUCUCUUCUACUAUCAAAUAAUUUGAAUUUUACAAUCAACUGAUCAAGAAAUAUUUAAUAUGAUAAAUUAUGAUAGUUUAUUACUUUUUUUCAUAAUAUUUUCGCGAAUAAUUAUUGGCCGGAGAAGAGGAGAUAUAAGAAGGGCAUAUCUAUUAAACUUAGGGCUGGUUUGGUUUGAAAACAAGUUAUAUCGGGAUUAGUUAUAUUGGGAUAAGUUGUGAUGAAAUAAGAUAUACUGAGAUUAGUUAUGUUGAGAUUAUUUUUUAUUGAGUGUUUGAUUUGUUGUAUUCAAAGUAAUAUACAUCCUAUAAUUUCUAGGAAGAAAUUAAUUGAUUACCAAAAUACCCUCCAUCUUAUUUAACUUUUUAUAUAUAUAUAUUUCUUUUUAAGAUUUAAAUAUUCAUUCUUAAAUUAUUUUUAAAAGAAAUUAAAAUAUAUAAAUAAACAUAAUUUAUAUUUUACAACCAUUUUGAGCGGUAAACUGUUCAAAAUUUAUUUAUUUAUGAAUAUAUUAUACGUUAAUUAAACAUAAUUUAUGUGUGUGUGAGAAUAUAUUACGUUACAUAUAAUUAAAUUAUAUAUAAUUAAACAUAAUGAACAUAAUUUAACAUAAUAUAUUAUAAUUAAAUAUAUUAAUAUAAUAUAUAUACAUAUAAUUAAACAUAAUUAACGUAUGUUAAUAUAUUUAAUUAUAAUAUAUUAUGUUAAAUUAUGUUAAUUAUGUUUAAUUAUGUAUAACAAUCUCAAAAGAGUAUUUUUGUCCUUGUAUAAUUUUAUCCCAAAGAAAAAUAAUUCCGGGAUUGUUAUCCCACCACUUGGGUGGAUAACUUAUCCCGGGACUAAUUAUUAGUCCCGGGAUAAGUUAUCCCAAAUAUUUAUAACCAAACGAGUGAGUUACAUUUUUAUCCCGGGAUUAUUGACUCUAGUCCCACAAACCAAACGACCCCUUAGCAUACAUUAAAUCAUAUUUGACAAAUAACUAUAUAACUAAUAAUAAAAGAAAGGGAGAAGAAAAAGGUUAAACUUUUGGAAGAAUUCAAGCGUUAUAAUUAGGCUCUUUUAAAUUUGAGGAUAAUAAUUAGAACCGAUAAACAAUUUUGGAAAAUUUUUGCAACACCUUAAUCAAUGUAUUAAAUCUUUAACUCGUGUCAAAAAGGUGUUAAUAUUGAUAAAUAUAUUUAUAAAAUUAAAAGUUGAUCUAUUAUAUAAUGUAGUAAUUUGAUAAAAAAAACUGUCAUUUAGCAGUUAGCACUCAUGAGUUCCGCCCUUAAUAGCAAAUUAGUCAAAAAGUUUAUGCUUUUAAGUCAUACAUGCAAAAUUUCGUGUAAAAUUUUAUUCUGAAUCUCGAUAUUAGAAUUUAUGAUAUGUUAAUAUUCUCUUCAUUCCUUUUUAAUUGCUCCCUUAGUUUUUAUGAGUCAAUUUAAUUAGUUUCAAAGCUAAAUUAAAUUAGAUUUCAUUUGAUUUUUAAAUUAAAAUUUAGAUAUUUAAAAACUAUAUGAAAUUUACUAUAAAUUUUAAUUUUAUUUAAAUUUAAUAAGAAAUAUAUAGUAAAAUGUUAAGUUAAAAUUUGUAUCGUUUGAUUUAAAAAAAAAUAAGAAAACAAUUAAAAAAAUGAAGGAAGCGUGUAAUGAAUCAUCGUAUAGUAAUUAUGUGUCUUGAAAACAUGUUGCUCAUUUAGUAGUACAUCGUAUCUUUACAUAAAAAAACAAAAAUAUUCAAAAAUCACAAUUUAUUUUUGAAUUAUUUAUAUUAGGGAAAAGGCUCAAAUAUGCCACUGAACUAUCAGAAAUGAUUCAUUUAUGUCAUCCGUUAAAAGUUGGGCUCAUUUAUACCAUCGCCGUUACAAAACUGGCUCAUCCAUGCCAUUACUUUUAACACCCGAUUUUUAGAAAACAGUUUUACCACGUGGAAGCAUAUUAGAGGUCCAUGUCAUUUAAAAAAAAAUUAAUUAUAAAAAAAAUAGAAUUUUUUAUUUAAUUUUUUAAAAAAAUGGUGUUGGUUACAAAGUUUGUAGAUUACAUAUUUCUAUGCUUUUAUUUAUUAAAUAACGAAUAAUAAAUUUUGCAUAUAACUAAUGUUUAUGUUUUUUCUGGAUUUUUAUUUUUAAAAAUAAUUAUAUAUUUAUAUUUGACCAAUCUUCUAGGUAUUUAUUUAUACAUGAAUCCAAAAUAUUCAAACCUGAAAUUCUAGUUCAUCAUAGUCAUUGCUAGUCCUUAUAUGCAAUGAUAAUAAAGGGCGGAACCGUAUUCUUGUCAUAUUUUGCCAAAUGAAAAGGUGACCAUUUUAAAAUGAUCAAUUCAAAGACCUUAAAUGGUUAAUUUUUCUUAACACUUCGAAAAGUACAUGAUAGAGAAAGAAAAAGAAUGCAAAAAUGUAAACAAUUUCUUCUGUUGGUGCAUUCUCUUUUCCUUACUUUUCUCUCCCUCUUUGUGUGUAUGCAUGCAAAAUGUAUGUAGUAAAGUAUUGUGUGUGGAUGCGUACGUUAUCAUUUAUUCUUUGUUAUGAUUAAAUUUGAAGUGAGAUUUGAUAUAAUAUAUGAUCCAUGCAUGCAUGCAUACAUAUAAAUGAUUAUAAAAAAGGAAUAAAUGAUAAUGUAUACAUCCACACACAAUAUUUUACUACAUACAUUUUGCAUGCAUACACACAAAUAGGGAGAGAAAAGUAAGGAAAAGAGAAUGCACCAACGGAAGAAAUUGUUCACAUUUUUGCAUUCUUUUUCUUUCUCUAUCAUGUACUUUUCAAAGUGUUAAGAAAGAUUAAACAUUUAAGGUCUUUGAAUUGAUCAUAAUAUGGUCACCUUUUUCAUUUGACAAAAUAUGACGAAUACGGUUCCAUCCUUUUUUAUCAUUGCAUAUAAGGACUAGCAAUGGUUAUAAUGAACUAGAAUUUCAGGUUUGAAUAUUUUGGAUUCAUGUACAAAUAAAUACAUAGAAGAUUGGUCAAAUAUAUAUAUAUAUAUAUAUAUAUAUAUAUAAUAACCAACACCAUUUUUUAAAAAAAUUAUAAAAAAAAUAUAUAAAUUAUUUUUUAAAAAAAAUUUUAAAAAAAUAACGUGGACCUCUAAUAUGCUGCCACAUGGCAAAGCUGUUUUCUAAAAAUUGGAUGUUAAAAGUAAUGGCAUGGAUGAGCCAGUUUUGUAACGGCGAUGGCAUAAAUGAGCCAAACUUUAACGGAUGGCAUAAAUGAGUCAUUUUUGAUAAUCCAAUGGCAUAUUUGAGCCUUUUCCCUUUAUAUUAUAGUGAGUAUAUAGAUUAGUGAAAUCAUGAUUUGGCGCGUGCGAUACAAGAACGCCAAAACAAGGAACAAAAUGGCGUCGACUUAUUGUUUAUCAAAUCAAAACAUCUUCCAUCUUAGGGUCCGUUUGGCCAUGAAAUUUUUUUCCUUUUUUCUCCAAAAAAAUUUAGAGUUGAAAAUUAUGGUGUUUGGCAAUGAAAAUUUGGAAAAUAAUUUCGAAAAAAAUUUCUAAAAAGAGAAAACAAUUUUUUGUGUAUUCACAAUUUUUCAACUUUUAUUAUUAUUACAUAUAAGCCCAAUCUUUUAAAUUUUUACAUAAAACUCUCCUUAUAACGUUACUUUUUCAAUAUUACGUAUAUAACAGUUUUAAAGAAUAAGAUAAUUAUAAUUUCAAACUUAAUAUUAUCCUAAUUAAUACUAUAUAUCUCUUUUUCUCUCUCAUCAUUAUUUUUCUCUAUUAUUUAAUUUUCUUCCUUAUUUAAGACAUUAUUUUACUGCUAAUUAUCCUAAUUACUAUAAUAUAAUAAUAAUAAUAAUAAUUUUUCUAUUGUGAUACGGAUGUUUAAGAAAUUAUAGUCGUGUAAUUAAUAAUGGAUAAUCGUUUUCUAUAUUUAUGGAAUUAAUAAAAUUGUAGCAGAUUAGUUUACUAUUGCCAAAAAUUAUUCUCAUUUUUAAUUUGAUGAUAUAUAUUAUAGUGUGUACAUCUUUAUUAUACUAUUCAAAUGUAAAUAGUUUAUACCAUAUAUAUGCUAAAAAUAUAAAUCGGUAAUACAUAUUUUUCAUAAAAAAAUAUGUCCAAUUUAACAAAUUUAUACCUUAAACUGCAAUUGCUAUCUUUAUAUAUCAUAAUACUUGGUAUCUUUAUACACAAAGUAUUAUAUUUAUACCCAUAAAUAUAUAAAAUAUUNNNNNNNNNNNNNNNNNNNNNNNNNNNNNNNNNNNNNNNNNNNNNNNNNNNNNNNNNNNNNNNNNNNNNNNNNNNNNNNNNNNNNNNNNNNNNNNNNNNNNNNNNNNNNNNNNNNNNNNNNNNNNNNNNNNNNNNNNNNNNNNNNNNNNNNNNNNNNNNNNNNNNNNNNNNNNNNNNNNNNNNNNNNNNNNNNNNNNNNNNNNNNNNNNNNNNNNNNNNNNNNNNNNNNNNNNNNNNNNNNNNNNNNNNNNNNNNNNNNNNNNNNNNNNNNNNNNNNNNNNNNNNNNNNNNNNNNNNNNNNNNNNNNNNNNNNNNNNNNNNNNNNNNNNNNNNNNNNNNNNNNNNNNNNNNNNNNNNNNNNNNNNNNNNNNNNNNNNNNNNNNNNNNNNNNNNNNNNNNNNNNNNNNNNNNNNNNNNNNNNNNNNNNNNNNNUAUGAGAAAACGACUAUUAAUGUAAAUAUUAUAUAUGUCAUAAUUGAAAUUCAUUAAAUAUGGCCAUGUAUAGGUAAUUAUUUUUAUAAAAGUGGCUAAUUGUGUUCUUUUUCCGUUAGUCGGUAAAUUUUAGUUGAGUGAUUUUGAUAGUUUGUAAAAGUUGGGACAUAAAAUCAUAUUUAAAUUUUUUUUUUCAAAAGUAAAAAAAAAAAAUCAAAAAAGAUAUGGUCAAACACAACUCCAACUCCAAAAAAUUUUAGUUUUCAUGGCCAAACGGCUACUUAAUUAAUAGUCUCGAAUAUGAGCCUUUCAAAAGAAAAUAACCUCUAGAAAGAAAUUCUAUAAUGCGUGAAUUUGAAUUCUAUCGACCCCUGUGAAUAUCGAAUAUUGGGGGUAGAAAGCAAAAACAAAACAAUUAAAUGACAUUAAAAUUUGAGUUAGUUAUUAAUUAACACGAUCAUUGAAUUAACAAUUUUAUCUUGAAACUUACUCAACUUUAUUUUAUUAUAAAAUAGAAAAGUCACUCAACUAUUGACUUUUUACCUACAAAAUCACUCAACUAUUGUUAUUUCAUCUACUCUUUCGUCUGCUUUUACUUUUCUAAUUUUGGCUUAACACAUUAUUAAGAAAAAAUAAUUACUGACAUAAUUAAUUUAUCACACUAUCUCUAUUAAAUGAUAUUUUUUAUUAUGUUUUGAAAUAAAAUUGGAUAAAAUAUAAUUAAUGCUAGGGAUAAAUAGAAAAAUAAAAUUAUCUUUUUUAAUAUGGUAAAAAUGACAAGCAAAAAUAGAAAUCUAAUUUAAAAAUAAGUGACAAGUAAAAUCGAACGAAUUUGAGUACAAAGUCACACAAUCUAUUCAAAUGAUAUUUUCGAGAAAUUAAUUCUAAUGGGACCAUUAAUGCGCGAAAUAACAUGAAAUAUCUCAUGAUUAAGCGUGAGAUAAAAUCUACAGGGAAAAGGCUCAAAUAUGCCACUGAACUAUCAGAAAUGACUCAUUUAUGCCAUCCGUUAAAAGUUGGGCUUAUUCAUGCCAUCGCUGUUACAAAAUCGACCCAUCCAUGCCAUUACUUUUUAAUAGAUGGUUUUUAAAAACAGCCUUACAACGUGGCAACUUAUUAGAGGAUCACGUCAUUUUUAAUUUUUUUUUUUUUGAUCCAUUAAAAAGAAUCUACACAACUUUUUGAUCCAUUGAAAAUUAGUUUGAUCUAUACUUUUAAAAUUUGAUUAAUUUUUCAUGAAUAUAUUCUUAAAACAUUCUUGUUCGAUUCGUUUUUUUGUCAUUUUUGAUAUAUUAAGAUUGUUUUCAUAUUUUACCUUUAAUAUUAAUUAUUUUUUUCUUCAAAUUAAUUUCAAAUACAAUAGUAAACAUCAUUUAAUAAAUAUAUUAUAAUAAAAUAGCUAUUUUAAUUGAUAGACGAGUAACUAAAAGGGAAUGGAGAGAGUAUACACUCCACGUUUUUAUCACUUUAUUAUUACUUUGUUUAAAAAAAGAUUCACGUUAACUAAACUUUUUGUCAUUUUUCAGUUGAAACUGAAGAGAUAUAUAAACAUCAAAUAUUAUUAUUAUAUUAUCAAUAGUUAGCUUCUCAUUUUGCCAACUCUACGUAUACUAUAUAUGUCGGUAUAUUGUCGCCUUCCUGUUUUUGCAAUGAUAAAUGAUGAUGCAUAAAGUGUUACAUACAAAUGUUGAAUACUGAUUAGGGGCGGCUCAACCCUUUAGAAGAAAAGGCGGCCGCCUAAGACCCCAAAAUUUGAGGGGCCUAUUUUUUUUAGUAAUAAUAAAUUACAAAUUUUAAGAAAUAUAUUAAAUACUACUUACAGAAAAAAAAAUUAUAUAAAAAAUAAAACGCAAAGCCUCCGUUUGAUUUUUGCCUUAAGCCAUAAAUUUUCUUGAGCCGCUCCUGAUGUUGAUGAUGUCAUUCUAUGCUUAAUAAAAAAAUAAAAGUUACUUAUAUUCAGCUGACAAAAUUUCAUGUAUGCUAAAACAUACUAUAUGCUUAAUUAGAAUAGCGUUUGGUUAUAAAUUUUAAUAGUAGAUUUAAAAAAAAAAGAAAUUCUUUAAAUAUUUGUUUGACCAUGAAAAAUUAAUCAAAUUUUAAAAGUAUAGAUCAAAUUAAUUUUUAAUGGAUCAAAAAAUUGGGUGGAUUCUUUUUAAUGGAUCAAAAAAAGAAAAUUAUUUUUUUAAAAAAUGAUAAUAAAAACUAAAAUAAAAAUGACGUGACCCUCUAAUAAACUGUCACGUGACAAGGCUGUUUUUAAAAAUCGGUUGUUAAAAAGUAAUGGCAUAGAUGAGUCAGUUUUGUAACGGCGAUGGCAUAAAUGAGCCUAACUUUUAACAAAUGACAUAAAUGAGCCAUUUCUGAUAAUUCAAUAGCAUAUUUAAGCCUUUUCCCAAAUCUAUACCAUGUUAUGUAAACAAAAGAAACUUAUCUUGGAACAAAUUUAUGCAAUCUACCAAAAUAUAGUAUGAAUCUUUAUCUUAAACUUAAUACCUCACUUUAUCACAUCCAACUUAUGGUUAUUUUAACCUGCCUUUCAAUUAGGAUGAAAUGUUUCAGAAAUCUAUCUAUUGGUCAAAAAAUUAUAAUCUCGAAACUAUAAUUCAGGAUAGUUUUUUCGGUAUACCACACCGUCAUAGUUUUUUCGGUAUACCACACCGUCCCUUGAAAAUUUAAGUAAUCGUUUGAUCGUGAGAAUUCUUUUAUUUUUCUUUUUUUAAAUUAUUUUAUUUUAUGAAGAAAGUAAAAAUAGUAGUGUUUGACUAUAAAAUUAUUUUAGUUUAAAAUAAAUCAUUUUUGAAAAAAUAAAAAUUUGUAGCCAAAUACAACACAAUUCUAAUUCCGAAAAAUUAUUAUUUUUGCCAUAAGUAUUAUGCCAUAAAACGUUCAUUUGAACGAACAUUACUUUGCCACGUCAUCAUCCACCUCAUCAAGCCCCUACAUUUUACUAUAAAUACUCCUUUUACCCCUAUAAAUUUCCAGUCUUUUCCUUCUCAUCCAGGAGUCAAGAAGCCAGCUGCUUCGCAAAGCUCAGCUGCAGCCUUUUCAAAAAACUCACUAGGGUUUCUCCCAAAAACGACUGAAUUUGAUAGCAGUUGUUCAGAUCGGUUUCUGUAAGGUCCUGUUUAUCGAAUUACUUAAUUGUACCUCCAGUUGUUGUAUUUGAUCUGUUCAUUUAUACCGUUUAAACUGCUUUUUGUUGUUUAAACUGUGAUAUUUGAGGUGGGGUUUGUUUAUUUUUAGGAUUUGUUCAGUUAAUUGAAACACCCUUAUUACCUUUUGAGUUGGUUUUUGUUUUUUGAUCUGUAUGUUUGUGUUUUUUCUGAUAAAAAAUUUGUUUGGGUUUUGAGGUCAAAAUCAGGCUUAAAUAAGAGUUAGAAAGGGAGAAGUUCUUGUUUUUAGAUGUGGGUUUUGGUAGGUUUAGUUUUUUUUUGCGAAAUUUGAUUUGGAUUUUGUGUUUAUGUAUCGUGUCGAACUGCUUUUUGAUUGUGUCUUUGUUGUUUGAAUUGUAAUCCUUGAGGUGGGUUUUGGUCGGUUUAGUUUUUUUUUUUUUUUUUCAAAAAUUGAUUUGGGUUUUGUGGUUGAAGUGAAAAUUAGGCAUUUUUAAAGUCGGUAAGCUGGAGAAGUGUUUGCUUUUUGAUGUUAGGUCUUGUUGUUUUAAGGAUUUAUUCAGUUCAUGUAUAGCAGGUAAACUGCUUUUUUAUUGUAUCUUUGUUGUUUGAACUGCUAUUUUUUAUGUGGGUUAUUGUCGGUUUAGUGAUUUUUCUGCAAAAAUUUGAUUUGGGUUUUUGUUUGAGGUCAAAAUUAGGCUUUUUUUUUUUAAUUGGGGAACUCGAAGAAAUUAGGAUUUAUUCAGUUAAUUGGAUUUAUGUGUGGGUUUCUGUUAGCUUCUGGUAAGUCAUUUAUGAAAGAUUAGCCUAGUUGUGUUAUCAAAAUGAUGUCUUGUUUGAUCUGUCCAUUUUGUUUAUUUUACGCCUUAAGCUGCUUUGAUUGUCUCAUCGUUUAAAACAUGAUCUUUGAUGUGGGUUUUGGUUGUUUAAGUGUUUGUUUGCGAAAUUUGGUUUGGGUUUUGUGUUUGACGGAAAAAUAAGGCCUUUAAGGUUAAUGGGAUUUGUGUUCUAUAUUAGAAAUCAAAAUUAUAGUUUUAUGGAAGAUUAUCGUCAGUUUAUAUAGCCUUAAACUGCUUUAUGCUUUCUGAUUGUGUCUUUGUUGUUUGAACUGCGAUUGUUGAUGUGGGUAUCGGUUUGUUUAGUGUUCUUUCGUAAAAUUAGGCCUUUUUUAGUUGGUGAACGGGUGAAGUGCUUGAUUUUAGAUGUGGGUUUCUGUCAUUUUUAGGAUUUGUUCAGUUAAUUGGAUUUGUUUUUUUUUGUUUUUUGUAUAAGAAGUCAAAAUUAAGCCUUUUUAGAUGCGAGGUUUGGUUGUCUAUUCAGUUUAAUAGCCUUAAACUGCUGCUUGAUUGUAUAUUCGUUUUUUGAAAUGCUAUAUUUGAUGUGAGGUUAUGUUGGUGUAUUGUUUUUUUUUUUUUUUAAGAAAAAGUUGAUUUGGGUCUUGUGUUUGAUGUCAAAGUUAAGCAUUUUUCAAUCGGAGAAAUGGAGAAAUUCUUGAUUUAAGAUGUGAGGUUUGGUUGUUUUUAGGAUUUAGUCAGUUAAUUGGAUUUUCGUUUGUAUUAGUUCAGUUUAUGUAUAGUGUUAAAGUGCUUCCCGAUUGUAUAUUUGUUGUUUGAACUGCAAUCUUUGAUGUGUGUUUUGGUCAUCGUAGUGUUUUUCACAAAAUUUGAUCUGGGUUUUAUGUUUUACAUCAAAAUGAGGCCUUUUUAAUUGGUAACCGGAGAAGUUCUUAAUUUUAGAUGUUGUUUUCUGGUGUUCUAGUGUUUUAUCGCAAAUUUUGAUCUGGGUUUUAUCUUUAACAUUAAAAUAGGCUUUUUUCAAUCGGAGAACUGAUGGGAGGUUUGGUUGUUUUUAGGAUUUGUUCAGUUAAUUGUAUUUGUAAUCUGUAUUAGAAGUAUUAAGUUAGGCUUUUUUAAUAGGAGAACUGGAGAAGUGCUUCAUUUUAGGUUUGAGGUUUUUUUUUUUUUGACAAUUUAUUAUGUUAAUUGUAUUCUUUUGCAUUAGAAGUCAAAAUUUGGCUUUCAAGUCAGAUGAGUGUUUGAGUUUAUUCAUAAAAUUGGAACUGGGUUUGGUGUCUGAAGUCAAAUUAGGGCUUAUAUUCAAUUGGAGAUUGUAUGAGUUUAUGUUUGAGGCCGAAGUAGGGACCCUUUUUUUUGGACGAAGUGCUUAAGCUAAUGUUUCAAGCUGAAAUAUUUUUGAGAAAUCCAGAGAUUGUUGGAGUUAGGAAGUGGAGUGCUAAUAGAUUGUUGAUUGUGUUUCUUUUCAUCUGAUAUUUGCUUAUAGUCUCUGGGUAUUAAGUUGAUGAAGGGACACAUGAUAUAAUUGAAAUUCUUAAAGAUAAGAAUCACAUUUUUAAUGAUUGGUUCUGAUCUAUGAAUGAAGGGGAGCCUUAGAGUAACUAGGAAAGUUACUGCCAUGUGACCAGGGGGUCAUGGAUUUGAGCCGUGGAAACAGCCUCUUGCUGAAAUGCAGGGUAAGGUUGCAUACAAUAGACCCCUUUGGUCCGGCCCUUCCCCGACUCCGCACAUAGUGGGAGCGUAGUGCGCUAGACUGUCCCUUGGUUCUGAUCUGCGAAUGUCUGUUGGUAUGUGGUGGUUUCCUGGUGGAUAAAUCUUGUUGGUUUGAUUUGCGUUUACUUUAUAUCUGUGAACCUGUUGGUGGAUUGGUGAGUUGGUACAGGAGAUUGGUUUUAGAAUAGUAACUUGGCAACUUCAGGUUGUAUUUUGACAGAAGUAACAUAACAAGUUUUGAAUUCUUUAAUUGGAUGUUUUGACGAAGAAGAAAUAAACUUGUCGAGUGCAAAUCAAUAAUCUCCGUCAAAAUUUUCUCAAAUGGAUCUGUAUCAGUAUGAAAAGAUGGAUGAUUUAGAAUUUUCAGUUGGGUUUUGCAGCCUCAAUAUGUUGUGGAGCUUCGGAUUUUGCUUAUGGUGUGUCACAUGUGAGGAUGGUGCUCCCUUUGGUUUGGGCUGAUGCUUGUAAAAACAUAUCAGUGCUUAUUAUGCCCCAAAGUUGAGUGGAAAACCGAAGUUCUGUUUUGGUUGCAUGGAUGUGGGGACUUAGUAUCUACUGAAGAUGCUUGCAGAUGUUACGAUCUAUUUUUUGUGCAUCCUAAGCUAAUAUGAUCUGAAAAUUUUGUCAUAAUAGGUGAGUGCUCACCCUAUUUAGUCCUAUUCAUUACUUGAAGUGAAUAUAUAUUGGGUGUAUAAUAUCUCUUCUGUGGGUAUUGUAGUUGAAGAUUCAAUCGGUUUAUUUAGAUUAUAGGUUCAACUUGGUUGUUUAUUGGACUUGGAUAUAUUCAGAAGGAAACGAAUUUAUUUGGCUAAUCAAGCCUUUUGAUCUUGACAGUGCUGGCUUCUCUUGUUCUUUUUGUUUUCCAUGUUUUCCAAACUUAAGAGUUUGAUUUUUGAUUUCCGUGGCAAUGUACACAAUGAUGAUAUCGAGAUAUUCAUGUAGUGUCGAAUACUAAUGAUGUGCAGUCUGCGGUGUCAGUGUAUUCAUUUUGGGAACUGCAGUCUACAAGGUUCAGUUCCUUCAUAAACAGGAUUAAACAGGAUUAGGAUUGAUCACGUCAGAUAGAAGAUGCAAGUAGCACAUAUAGAGGAUAAACGAGGGAGGAUCGCAGAAUGGUUUGGUCAUACCCUAUAUAGACAAAAUGUGAUUUGGUUCAUAUGUGUGACAAUGAGAUGAUUGGGGAUGUUCUGAAAAGUGACGCGGUAGACCUAAACAUACAGAUCGGAAACACAUGAUCACUGAAUGAAGACUUAAUUAAGAAUGGAACAUAUGCUGUAGGAAAAUGAUAGGCAAUACCUAUUAGUUGUGUCUUAGGUUUAGCUGUUGUUGUACUUACAUUAGAUCUGGUGCUUCCUAGUUCUCUGAAUUUUUUUUCCUUGUGUGGCUGGAGAUUGUAUCUCAGCAUUGCAAAAUCAGAUUGCUCUUAUAAAAGCGUAUGAAAAACUGUUUACCUGUAUUGGGGUGAAAUGGAUCCAAAUAAGGACCUAAUACAUGGCAGAUUUCAUGCUUAGCUGAUUGUUGAUUGUUAAAUCUUUUUCAUCGUUUUUUAGAAGUUGGUGAUUAUACUGUUUUAGCUUUUUAUGAGAAGUUUCGGGUCUGGCUUAGUCUCUGUAUUUGUAAUACUUUAGCUGUUCAACCUUCUAUAUCUGAACUGAUUCUCAGUUUUAGAAAAGAGCUGGCUGUGAUGUAUCUUUAAUUCCUGAUUUAUUCGUGAGGUGUAUGUAAAACUGAUCAGAUGAUGUUAGCCUAAAAAUGUUACUGAGGUCUGAAUGACCAUUUUAGCCAUUUGUCUGGGGUACGUAAUGUUGCACUUUUUUUUAAUUUAUUUAUUUCAACUCUUAUAGCUUUUCAUAUACAUGUUAAUUCAUAUAUUGGUCUUUCGGGGAGGCUUCUACAUGAAUUCUUAUUUUCAGCGCUGCUUACAUCAUUUUUUUGUCAUUUGACAGUUGGUUUAUAGAAACUAAACAUGCCUAAGGAGAGAAGAGAUAGAUCUGUUUCUUUUGAUAGGAGCAGAGCUUCUCCUUACUCUUGUAGCUCGAGUCACUCAAGGCAAUCGUUGUCCAAAAACCCUUUGGAAAACGAGGAAAAUGUGAAGGACUGGGAAGAUGCCCGAUGCCCUGUGUGUAUGGAACAUCCCCAUAAUGCUGUUCUCCUUUUGUGUGCCUCUCAUGAGAAUGGCUGUCGUCCUUUUAUGUGUGACACAAGUUAUAGGCAUUCAAAUUGUUUCGAUCAAUUCAAAAAGUCAUUUGAAGCAGCUUCAGCAUCAACAACACAACAAGUGGAGAUCCCAACUUCAGCUUCUAUUGCGCAAUCUACCGUGACAAUAUCCGAAGCUCUGUCUGAACUGCCAGGGGAAAGAACUGAAAGCGGUUCUAUAUCCCUAGGUGCCUUGGCUUGCGAGAACCAUGAAAUAAAGAAGAUGCUAUGCCCUCUCUGUCGUGGCCAGAUAAAUGAUUGGAUUGUUGUAGACUCUGCCCGUCGUCACAUGAAUGCGAAAUUAAGAAGCUGCUCUAGCGAGACAUGCGAGUUCAGUGGCACAUAUUCAGAUCUGCGUAAGCAUGCUAGGCAGGAACAUCCUCUUGUACGCCCUACAGAAGCUGAUCCAGAGCGGCAGCGCAGUUGGAGGCGGCUGGAACGGCAGAGAGAUUUAGGAGAUUUGCUCAGUACAUUGCAGUCAUCUGUUGUUUCAGAGGAGGGUAGUGAAACCACCAGUUUAACCCUUGAUGAGGGUGGUUUGCUGACUGUUUUUCUCUUUGUUCGGAUUCUCCAACCUAGGAGUAAUUCUCGUAGCAGUAGCUGGUCAGGUUCUGCAAGAACCCGAGCUCAGGCAACUGGUAGGCGACGACCUUCGAGAAGACUUUGGGGCGAGACCUAUGAAGGGGAAAUUGAUACUAGAGAGGAUGAAAAUGAUGACUCUGAUGGAGGGUCGGGUCCUCGGAGGCGCCUGCGUCGACAACCAACACCAGAAAAUUAAUUCUGGCCGCAAACAUGUGUUUGCCUGCUAUUCUUCUCGAAUAUUAUCGCUGUAGGUACUACGAAGAGCAUAUUCUUCUACCGUUGUAAUUCAUUUCUCUUGUUGUAUUCCUUUUUAUUCGGGUUGAUCACUUUCAGGUGGAGGUGGUGCAAGGAACAUCGUGGUCUGGAGGUGGUGCAAGGAACAUCUUGGUCCAAAAUUUGUCGUGCUGAUGAAGCUGGGCAAUCGAUUCUUGGAUACAAGAUUCGGAGGAAAGGAAAUGGAGGAUUUUGUUCGCAUAUUAGUAUAAUAUAAGUUCGUGUACAUGUUGGAAAGCAAUUUGCUACUUCUGCUACUAGUCUUAUGAAUAAGCUCAAUACUGCAAUUAAGAUGUUGUGUUUCAUUAUUCAGCUUUGGCUACAGCAGCAUGAAAGGAAUGUUCAAUUUGUUUUUAUAAGCUGUUCAUUUCCCUUCUCUGCGAAUAUACCUCCUCGGUUAUCAAUAUUGUGUUUCAACCGAAAGGCACCAUAUCCAUCGGUAAGUUCACUCUGCAGAUUCUUGCGUGAGCUGCGUUACUUAAGACUGACCCCUGCUGCUCAUUCGAGAGCCUCGAACAUUAUGUUGUAUAUGUUGGGUGUGCUGCAGCCAUAUUACCAUUGUUUUCUCGAUUUACGAUGCAUCUCGUUUGGACUACUCACGGUCACCAUUCUUGAUGCGAGCACGGAUAGCUCAAAUCGAGCUACACCUAUAACUGACGGUCGCCAUUCUUGAAAUGAGCACGGAUAGCUCAAGUCGAGCUAUAUCUAUAACAUUUUUAAUACGAGCAUAGAUUAGCUCAAAUCGAGCUACGCCUAUAAAUCAUGGUUACUAUUCUUGAUAGGAGCACGGAUAGCACAAAUCGAGCUACACCAAUACCCUGGACGAGCAUGGAUAGCUCAAAUCGAGCUACACCUAUACCCUGGACGAGCACGGCUAGCUCAAAUCGAGCUACACCUAUACCCUGGGCUACACAGGACUUGUUCAUGCAUACUCAUGCAUAGGAGGACUUGGAGGGCUUCAAUUACCUAAAAUGAAAGCCUACACGAUGAGAAGGGUCAAACCGAGUGAAGAAAACAUGGAGAGCAUCAUUCUAUUCUGCCUAGAUUGGCAGCGACUCUCCAACUCAUUCGGCAAUGCCAUCAGUGCCCGGCGAUGCAAGGCGGCUUGGGCUAUGGACGGCACUAUUAGGCAAUGGAAGGGCACUUUGACGAAGCAACUAAAGCACUUGGGCGAUCAUAAACAUACUUGCCUUAGUGCAUUUAGAAGCUUUUGAUGAUUUGAGAAUUAACAAUACUCUUCUAGAGUGUAGUUAAGGGUGGAUUUUAGGAGUACUGUAGCUUAAUCAAGUAGUUCAUAGUUAAACUUAUUGAGUGACUAGGGUGGAUUUUCGAAAUUGCUCGUGUUACUUCUUCUUCGCUUAAUCGAUUAUUGAGUUACUCCUUUUUUGGAUUCAAUUAGGUUUCGUGUAUUCAAUUGAGUUCUCUUAUCCCUUGGUUCAAUUGUGGAAUCAGUUGAGCCUUUCAUUCUUCUAUUAUCAUCCCUAUUUCUUAGCUAUAUUCCUGUCUUCUUCUUGUAGAAUUUGAAAGAAUGUUUUGAAGAUCUAGUUAGUGAUUUUAUUGAGUAAAUAUAUGCUGUGCAAAAAUCGAACCGAUCGAUAAAUCAAACCAAUAAAAAUGUUAUUAGUUUAUUGUUAUCAUGUUAUUGGGUUAACGAUUUUUUAAUGAUUUUAUGAAAAAAAUUAUUGGGUUAUUGGUUCGGUUUGAUUUUUCCUUAUUGGGUUAUUGGGUAAACCGAUAACCCAAUAAGAAUAUAUAAACUCAUAUAUUUUUCUUAAUUUCUCUUUAAUCUCUACAAAUUAACAAACCUAUUAUUUCAAUUAUAAAAACUCUUAAUUUCUCUUAACAACAUUUAAUUCAAACUUGAAAAUUCUUGUAAAUUAAAAUAAAUUAUGUAGAAUUUUUGUUUGCAACUAAGAUUGGAUUUUUUUUUAUGUUAGUUACUACUAUUUCUAUUUUAUGAGAUUUUCUUAUCGGUUAAACCGAAAAUCGAAUCGUUAAGAACUAAAAAUCGAUAAACCGAUAAAAAAUAUCUUAUUGAUUUGGUUAUUGGUUUAGCAUAUUUAAAAAACAAAACCCGAUAAAUCGAACCGAUAAUAUGUAAAAUCGAACCGACCCGACCGAUGCACACCCCUAGCUGUAGAUGCGCAUAAGUUAUAGGAAAAUUUUUUUAAAAUAACAACUUAAAUUACAAACUUUACUAAAUAAAGCAACGAUUUCCUCCUCUUUCAACGUCUUCUUUUAUGCUGCUGUUUCAACCCCUUUUUUGCUCUGAUUCAAACUUUUAAAUUAAAGGUAAUAUUUUCUCCUAAAAUCAUAUUCAAUAUCUUAUUAUCAAUUUCACCUGACAUUCAUCUUUCUAGAAAGAAAAAUCAUUUGCCUUGUCACACUCCUUUUUCUAACCAAAAAUUAAGUUCGAAAGGGUUUUUAUUAUUAAGUUACAAAAAAAAAAUAAGUUGUUCCGAAAAGGAUUUAACAAUCAAAACUCAGAGUCGCAACUUGACAUAAAUCUGGUGUGCCAAGUCACCUUUGAAAAUUCCUUUUUAAAAUGAUUUUUGACUCUUGUAAACUGAUCCACGAACAGAGAUUCCGGUUAAGAAAUUCUGUUGACCGAGGGUAAGGUGUUAGACACCCCUCGAUCUCGUGGUUCGACCACGGUCGCUUCGUGAAAUAUAUUAGCUAGUAGACACUAUGAAAUGUAUUAACCAACAAAACACAUAGAACAAGCAAACAAACAAAUCAAACAAAAUUCAAAACAAAGAUAAUGUCCAGUCCGAAUUAUACAGUCCCAAAAAUUAAAAAAUACGAAAAUGUAAAUUCUAUUCUAAAUUAGUCCUAGACUAAGCUCCACCUGACGCCUCGGACCUUGAUCACGAUCAUCUUCCACCAACAUGAUACGUAGGAGCAUUCCUCGGUGAAUAAAUACAAACGACCUUGGGGCAUUCCCCGACUAAAUGAGUACAAUUAACCAACAUCAUUCAACAAACAUUUCAAACAUUCACAAUUUCAACAAUCCCUAAGUUUGCCUACCCCUAUCAUUUGCCUUUUCAGUUUUGACCUAAAACAUGAUACUAUUGAGUCCGAUUAACGUUCAUUUCAGGUCAAAUAAACAAUAAUCAAACUAAUCAAAAUUCACCAAUUUUAUCAAAUUUUUAAUUCUCAUCCCCAAAUUCAUUUUCAACCACAUGAUUAAUCAAUUUCGAUAAAGAAUCAGCCAAUCGAUAUCAACAAUCAUUCACGGUGAUCCAAAUAUAUCAAAAUCAGUAAAACAAAAUCCACACGUUAUGAAUUUAACACCCAAAAUAUCAAACAAUUAGAAAUUAAUCGAGACUGAGAUGAAGAAUGGACCUUAAUAGCUCUUUUUUAAUUAAAAUUGCUUUUUUCGACUAAACCAUGACCAAAAUUCAGAACCGAACCUCAACAUCGAAUCUCAAACCGACGGCUUCGACCUCAAUAUCCGUUUUGUCUCGGACCCAGUUGUUUUUCUAAGCGUUUUGGUGGGUGCUGGGUUUGACUGGUCGUUGUUGUUUUCGAUUAGAACUGACAAGAAACGGACUUGUUCUUAUUUUUCCACAGCGAUGAGCCAUUUUCCGGCAGAUUUCACCGAAAAUUGGAAUGGAAGGUCGGCCGAAUCGGGUUUUAGUGAAGCUGCCGAAGUUGGUUCAUCGGCGUGUUACGAUGGGUGAAUUCCAGACCGUUUGGUUGCUGUUUUUGGGGUUAUUUCCGAUGUGUUUUGUGGUGGUUUGGCCGGCUGGUAUCGAUUUCCGACAAAUGGGUUUGUUCGCUGGUGUUUUUGAUCGAUAAAAAUCAAUGAUUUCGGUGAUUUUCGUCAGAAAAUGAACUCGACCCCUCACUGUUCUAUCGUUUUUCCACUGCCUCAGUGUUUUUUUUCAAUUAAUUUUCCUCCCCCUCAUGUUCAUCACUCUUCGUAUCUUCACUGUGUAUCCAUAAUUAUGGAUAUAGUGAGGUCUUUGUGAAUAUCUGUGUGAGUAUAUGCCAAUUCCAGUGAGUGAGAAUUGUAUGUAUGAAAGAAGGGAAAAUGGAGAAUUAUGGUUGUGUGCGUGUAUUCCCUGUUUCUAGUAUGUGAGUGAAUAUGUAUAUAGUGUGUUGUGUGCUUGUUCACUGUGAGUGGUGAAUUUUUUUUUUGUCCCCCAAAAGAAAACGUGACUUAGGGGGUAUAGGAUAGUGGUGUAGGUAGGAGGUGGGGUAGGGUGGUUAGAAUGAGGAAAAAAAAAUUAAGGUGAGAUGUCAAAAAUGAUUGAGACUUUGUUAGAUUUGUUAUUAUGUGAAAAUUAUCACAUGAUGGCGUGGUAAGAUGGGGUAAAAUGGUAAAAAAAUAAUUUUAGAGGGAUAAAAUUAUGUAUCUACAUUCUCUAUAGAAUACUCCAAUCAAAAUCU
rnacentral:lncRNA from 1 species